AGAGUUUGAUCCUGGCUCAGAACGAACGCUGGCGGCAUGCCUAACACAUGCAAGUCGAACGAAGGCUUCGGCCUUAGUGGCGCACGGGUGCGUAACGCGUGGGAAUCUGCUCUUGGGUUCGGAAUAACUCAGAGAAAUUUGAGCUAAUACCGGAUGAUGUCGAAAGACCAAAGAUUUAUCGCCCAAGGAUGAGCCCGCGUAAGAUUAGCUAGUUGGUGGGGUAAAGGCCUACCAAGGCGACGAUCUUUAGCUGGUCUGAGAGGAUGAUCAGCCACACUGGGACUGAGACACGGCCCAGACUCCUACGGGAGGCAGCAGUGGGGAAUAUUGGACAAUGGGCGAAAGCCUGAUCCAGCAAUGCCGCGUGAGUGAUGAAGGCCUUAGGGUUGUAAAGCUCUUUUACCAGGGAUGAUAAUGACAGUACCUGGAGAAUAAGCUCCGGCUAACUCCGUGCCAGCAGCCGCGGUAAUACGGAGGGAGCUAGCGUUGUUCGGAAUUACUGGGCGUAAAGCGUACGUAGGCGGUGACUCAAGUCAGAGGUGAAAGCCUGGAGC
rnacentral:rRNA from 1 species